rnacentral:lncRNA from 1 species
UAAACUUAAUAGAUGAGUACGGUGACUUCAUCAACUCCGACAGCUGCGACAACAAGAGAAUAACUAAUGGUUGGGUGGUAGAAAAUCUGAUUGGAUGAAUGGUCUAUUUAUACAGACCACUGAUGGCACGAAUUUAGCCAUCGAAUUGCCAGAUCUUACCACUUUACCUACUUUCGGAUCGAAAGACCUCGUGACUCUUCAUUGCAUCCUUGUCAAAUCAAACUGUGUAAG